UUAACUGCUUUCUCCCUCAGUUUCUUCAAUUGUAAAAUGGGUAUGAUAAUAGCACCUACUUCUCAGAGUCAUGAGACUCAAAGGAGAUUGCUUAUAUAAAUGCUAGCUAUAAGGAAAUCCCACUGUAGAGUUAUGUUAUAGUACCAUUUGGUUGAUUGCUUAUUUGUUAUAUAUUCCUGGAAAUGUUGUUUCCUCUAAUAUUUUGUUUUCAUGGAAGAACAUAAUGACAUUAGCUGGACUGUGACUGUAAAUAGAGUGGGGCAUUUCCUCACUUCUGAAUUGCUUUUGGAAAAGUGGCAGGAAGUGUUAGGGAGAAGUGUUUAUUAAGACCACUAACCACAAGGAAUACUAACAAUAUUUACACAGUGCUUUAUAGUUUCCAGCACACUUUUACAUAUCUUAGCUCAUAGUAGUCCCACUUUGGGGCUGAAAAGAAGAUUUGGAUGGUUCAGUGACAGCAGAAAAGCAGUGGGGAAGCUAACAGAUUUAUGUGGAGAGAAUUCUGAGAAAUCCCCGCCACCUCUCCCCAAGCAAAGAGACAAUGGAUGACUAAAUACCUGGGAUCUGCUUGACCUUCCUCCUGAAGGAAAGUGCUGCUGAAUGCUUCUAGAGUCCCUGAGUAUUCAAAUGAUCUGACGGGAGCUGGAGUGCCAGAUAACAGAUGUGAGGAAUGCAGACACCAAUGUCCCCUUCACUGUUUCUCAACAUGAACUCGCACAGUGAUGAAGUCAUUCCCGAUGAGCUACUUGGCUCCAUGGAUUAGGACUGGAUGCUGAGAUCUGGGGAGAGGAGCAGACAGAGGGCAUAGAAUGGGGAGAUUAUUUUCUCCAAGGAGGAUGGAGUCAGGUUCAUUUUCUGUAGUCAGAGGAUUCACAGGGUACAGAUGCCAGCUAACAAUGCCUCCGGCAAUGCGAUUCUCCUCAUAGCUACACUUUCAUGAACUCUGAGACUUUCCAUGUUCCCUGUAGCUGAAUGGUCCUACAAGUGUUGUCUUCUUCAAUUAAAGCAUGAUCUCCUUGACAGCAGGGGUUGUCUUCUUUGUUCAUCUGUAUCGCCAGCAUUUAACAUAGUGCUUGGCACCUAGUAAGCACCAGGUAAUUGUUUUGUCAUUCAUUCAUUCAUUUAUUCAUUCAAUGCAAGGCCAACAGUGUGUGACAACUGCUCUGAGAAAUUUCAGCCUAAGAGCUGCAAGAAGUGCCAGGGAAAGAAGCACAAUUUACAAAUGAAGGCUUCACGGAGGAGGUGGCAUUUGGGCUCCACCUUGAAAGAUGACAAAGAUAGAAAUAAGGGAUGCUGGGGGUAGGGUGGGGGUAUACAGUGAGCAUUUAAGUGAGUAGAGGAAGAUUGACAAAGCAAGGGUGGGAGAGCUGAUUUCUCUCCUCUCCCUGUCCCACUCUCCAUGGAGUUCAAUCCAUGGCUGGCACACUGGCAAACACUACCUAGCUUAUGCCAUUUGAAUAAAUCCCAGAAAGAAAAAGAUAAAAUCUUUUUAAUACAAAUAACUCCAGCCUCCAGAUGUAAUUUGAAUGGGCCCUGGGUGACUUGUUCUAUUUCUUCAGCUUCAGUAAGCAAGGAAAUCCAAUCAUCCAGUCUGUAAGACACUCCAUUGUAUGGGAAGUACGUGAACAAUGUAAAGAGGAACAUAACUUUCCAAGAGGAAAUAAUUGGUCCUGGAACUAAGCCUCUGAUGUAAGAAGAUUCAUAGCCAAAAAAGGAAAGAAAAGGAGGGAAGAAAACUUUAAAGUUCAAAGUUUAUCUGUUCCAACUUCCUUGUGUUACAGAUGGGGAAACUAAGGCCCAAUGUCCUGUCUAUAGUCCCAUAGCUAGUUAAUAAGAGAGCAAGGACUAGAGAUGAGCUCUCUUGGCGACUCAUCCAAUUGGCCCUCCACAGCCUCCACCCAUAGUCACCUCCAAUGUGCAGCCAUGCAGAAGCUCUCAUACAAUUGUUCAAGGAGAAAUGACUGAAAUUGGUGACCCCAGGGUCAGUCCAACCUCCAGCUUCCUGGCGUUUCAUGAAUGGCCAUCCCAGAAAUGAAAUAUGGGCCCUAUUGUUGGCUGGAGAAAAUAACUCAGGAGGCCAUGACGGAAGUCAUUAGCCGUGGCUCUCUGUGAAAAGAGAAAAUGCUCUAUGUGGCUGCUUGUUUGGACAAUGAAACAUGGUCAUUUCAGUCUUUUGUUUCAGCCUUUGUUUUUCAUAUUUGGCCCUUGUAUUUUCCCUCUGCUAAAUGAAUGGCUGAACCCCAAAGUGAAUGAGCCAGUGUUCCCCCAUCUUGAGAAACUCCACAGAUUGUCUUCCCAGUUUGCCCCUCACAGCCAGCCUUCCCCCUGCCUCUAGACAUGAUCUAAUUAUUUCAUAGUGAAUUAGAUUCCUGCCAGUGAUGGGCUGGCCAGUCUGUCAUCUGGAAUGUACAGAAAAACAUUAGAUUUGGAGUCAGGGCCUUGGGAUUGAAACCUGGUUCUUCAAGGGUUAACUCGGGCAAAUCAUUGAGCCCCUUUGGCCCAGCACCAACUAGUUAAGACCUGACAGGAAGGCAAGCAAGCCUACCUGAAUCAAUAAGGCACCAAUGGGGGAGAUACAGGUGGUAGUUUGUGUCAGGCAGCUUAAACCAUCAGCACCUGCCUUCUGACCACAGUCAAGACAGUUGAGGACUCUGAGCCCAAGAAAUUAGGAAAUAGUAGCAUCCUCCCUCCCAUACACCAGCUCAGAUUCCACUCAGUCUCCCCAUAACCAUACCCAGGGAGCAACUCUUGAGGAGACUUGACAAGGCAAGUGCCUCUUCAGGUCUUACAUAGUGGUCCCUGCCUCCUUAGCAGCCCUGACUCUGAAGACUGAAAAGAACCCAAAGACAUUAUCAAUAGUUCAACAUCAGGAUAGGAGGUGGUUUUUAUCAAUGGAGAUAAACAACAGAUUCAUUACUACUGACCUUGCUGCCGCACCCCAAGGACCACUGGGCCUUUCUAUGUGCCUCUCCAAUG